rnacentral:rRNA from 1 species
GACGAACGCUGGCGGCGUGCUUAACACAUGCAAGUCGAACGGUGAGGCCCUGCUUUUGUGGGGUUCUCGAGUGGCGAAAGGGUGAGUAACACGUGAGUGACCUGCGCUUUACUUUGGGAUAACUUCAUUAAACUGGAGCUAAUACCGGAUAUGAGCUCCUUCUGCAUGGUGGGGGUUGGAAAGUUUCGGCGGUUGGGGAUGGACUCGCGGCUUAUCAGCGUGUUGGUGGGGUAGUGGCUUACCAAGGCUUUGACGGGUAGCCGGCCUGAGAGGGUGACCGGCCACAUUGGGACUGAGAUACCGCCCGUACUGCUACUGCGGGAAUCAGUGGGGAAUAUUGCAAGCUGGGCGGAAGCAUGAAGCAGCAACGCCGCGUGCUAGAUCACUGCUUUCGGGUUGUAACCCUCUUUCGCGUGUGACGAAGCGUGAGUGACGGUAAUGGGUAAAGAAGCAACGGCUAACUACGUG